AAAUGAACUUCGACACUGAAAUUAUUAGUUAGGAUGUGACAGGCUGCGAGAGAUUUGAACGAAUUUACAUUGUGAUUUCGGAGAGAGGAGACAGAACGAAAUCUUUCCGAAGAUGUCACUCAUUACUGCAGCCGGUCCAUAUCCAGAUUACUCAUCAGAAGGCCCACUGAAUUAUGAAUUUCUGGGAUAAAUCGGCAGAAUCGUUGUAUAGAAACCAUCAAAAGCACUGAAGUAAUUCUUCAUGAAGCCAACAGUACACUUGGGAAAAACAUAUCUGUCUCCAACGCUCCUAUGCUUCCAGCAACUCCAUGAUCUUACACCUCUGCCAACUCCUGCCAAGCUUUCAGAAGGAUGAAGCAGCCUUCAUAAUUAGAUUUUUCCUGUCCUGAGCAACAUUGUAAGAGAUUCUGUUAGUGAGGAUAGCAGACUGAUAUACUUACCACUUCUUGUUGCUGCAUCAUGACUAUUUCUGUUGCAGGCAGAUGAGUGUCACGGGAAGUUUGAGUAAAGAUUUCCCUUGGCUACAUUAUGGAGAAACCUCAGCAUAUGUUUCAAUGGGCUUUCGACAAGAAUGUAAUUCAGAAAAUUCCGGGCAGGUGCUUCCAUCUUCUUUUAUAGAUCUUCUUCCCUCUCGCACAACUGCUUGGAAAUCAAGGCUCAUUACAAUAUUCUCAGAACAGUGCAACAAUUAUGAAUGGAUGUCCUCAGAAAAAGAUACCUGUUAUACUUUCCUUUCUCCUACAUUUUACGAUAUUUUAUCCAUCUUAUUACUUUUUCCAGACUGCUUUGUCACUAGUUUCUUUAUGACAUUUGAUGGUAUUCUGCCUCUGUACUUGACACUAAUGUUUUGUAAAGCUUCAGGAAUUUUGGCCAUUUCACCUCAUAGUGUUUCUGGGAUGCCGGUUAUGUUUAGCCAUUGGGAUUUUGAAGCAGAGUUCAUUCAUUCAUUUUAUUUAUAUAAAGAGCCAUGAAUAAGCACAUCAGGACUAAUUGGAUAACCCCUUUGAAGAGCUUGCAUUGGCCUGAUGAGAUAAAUGGAUCACUUCUUUGCUAUCCUAUGUUGCUAUAUGGUAAUAGUUCAAAUGCUGAUAAGUUAGUUUUUCAUACUGGUAAAGCCUAUGGAGAAGUAAAAAGAAAUUUUCUACUUUAUUUUGGCAUUCAAUAAAUACUCACAUGUUUGGUGGGUUUCUGGAUGCUCUGACUAUUAAGAGAGGCCAAUUUUAUAAAAUUGAUGCCCACACAGUUUAAUAGCCUAAUCUUUGAAUAGAAAGCUUUACAACCAAUUUUCUCACCAGGGUUAGCAAUUAAAGCAAGAUCAAACAUUGAUGUGGGCAUGUGCAGUACAUUCGUUAUUUUGUAUCAUAUGAAAAAAAGUUGAGCAAAGUGAGUGUGAUCAAGGCCGUGCCAUGCUUAUGUGAUGUGAAGUAAAGUAGAUUAUUUGUUUAUCCCACAUCUGGUUCAGAUCUCAAGGAGAUACUUUCAUACUUUGGGUUACACUAUCAUAGAGGUAAAUGUUAUGUGGUUUGCACAUGACCAGUUUAAAAAUAAUGCAGAGAUGUCUUUUUCCCCACAGAGUGUUGAGAGUGCUAGAAGCUCUUUUUCUCAAAAGGCAGUGGGAGCUGAGUGUUUGUUUUUGAGGAAGAGGUAGAUAAAAUCAUAAGAAGCAACAGGAUGAAAGUCUAUGAAGAAUAGCCAGGAACGCAGAGUAAUCAGAUCAGCCAUGGCGUUAAGGGUUGGAGGAGCAGACUCAAAUGCAUGAAGGACCUACUCAAGCUCCCAAUUGAAUGAUUGUUUGUGUAUACCAAACUGUAUGGCCUCAGACCACUUAUGGAUCUUGUUCAUGCUACUGCACCCGAAAAUAUGAAUAAAACAAAAAUCUAACCUUGAUACCUGGGCUCCCCAGAUUCUUAAACCUAAAUAAAAUGUAAGUUUUCCCAUCCUUGGUCUGAAAGAAAUUCUCAGAAGUGUUGCGUUCCUCCAAAUUCAAUUAUUGUCCUUGCUUUUAUUUCUUAAUCGUAUAGUAGUUCUGCACACCUCUCACCUUUACAAGUUACUUGAAUAAAUGAUUCAGAAGAAAC